UACGGAGGGAGCUAGCGUUAUUCGGAAUUACUGGGCGUAAAGCGCACGUAGGCGGCUUUGUAAGUUAGAGGUGAAAGCCUGGGGCUCAACCGCAGAAUUGCCUUUAAGACUGCAUCGCUUGAAUCCAGGAGAGGUGAGUGGAAUUCCGAGUGUAGAGGUGAAAUUCGUAGAUAUUCGGAAGAACACCAGUGGCGAAGGCGGCUCACUGGACUGGUAUUGACGCUGAGGUGCGAAAGCGUGGGGAGCAAACAGG
rnacentral:rRNA from 1 species